CACUCAAGGUUAACGCCUAAGUUUUUCUUUCCUGCUAAAGAGAUUUACCACCCCAAAGGCUUCUUCCAUCAACCCGAAUGGCUGGAUCAAGGUUGCCCCCAUUGGCCAAAAAUCCCCAAUGCUGCCUCCCCUAAG
rnacentral:rRNA from 1 species